rnacentral:rRNA from 1 species
GACGAACGCUGGCGGCAUGCCUAAUACAUGCAAGUCGAGCGAACAGACGAAGUGCUUGCACUUCUGACGUUAGCGGCGAACGGGUGAGUAACACGUAAGGAAUCUACCUAUAAGCGGGGGAUAACAUUCGGAAACGGGUGCUAAUACCGCAUAAUAUCUUCUUCCGCAUGGAAGAAGAUUGAAAGACGGCUCUGCUGUCACUUAUAGAUGACCUUGCGGUGCAUUAGUUAGUUGGUGGGGUAACGGCCUACCAAGACGAUGAUGCAUAGCCGACCUGAGAGGGUGAUCGGCCACAUUGGGACUGAGACACGGCCCAAACUCCUACGGGAGGCAGCAGUAGGGAAUCUUCCGCAAUGGGCGAAAGCCUGACGGAGCAAUGCCGCGUGAGUGAAGAAGGCCUUCGGGUCGUAAAACUCUGUUAUAAGAGAAGAACAAAUUGUAGAGUAACUGCUACAGUCUUGACGGUAUCUUAUCAGAAAGCCACGGCUAACUACGUGCCAGCCGCCGCCGUAACAC